rnacentral:rRNA from 1 species
AGUCGAACGGUAACGGGAACAGCUUGCUGUUUCGCUGACGAGUGGCGGACGGGUGAGUAAUGUCUGGGAAACUGCCUGAUGGAGGGGGAUAACUACUGGAAACGGUAGCUAAUACCGCAUAACGUCGCAAGACCAAAGAGGGGGACCUUCGGGCCUCUUGCCAUCGGAUGUGCCCAGAUGGGAUUAGCUAGUAGGUGGGGUAACGGCUCACCUAGGCGACGAUCCCUAGCUGGUCUGAGAGGAUGACCAGCCACACUGGAACUGAGACACGGUCCAGACUCCUACGGGAGGCAGCAGUGGGGAAUAUUGCACAAUGGGCGCAAGCCUGAUGCAGCCAUGCCGCGUGUAUGAAGAAGGCCUUCGGGUUGUAAAGUACUUUCAGCGGGGAGGAAGGGAGUAAAGUUAAUACCUUUGCUCAUUGAUGUUACCCGCAGAAGAAGCACCGGCUAACUCCGUGCCAGCAGCCGCGGUAAUACGGAGGGUGCAAGCGUUAAUCGGAAUUACUGGGCGUAAAGCGCACGCAGGCGGUUUGUUAAGUCAGAUGUGAAAUCCCCGGGCUCAACCUGGGAACUGCAUCUGAUACUGGCAAGCUUGAGUCUCGUAGAGGGGGGUAGAAUUCCAGGUGUAGCGGUGAAAUGCGUAGAGAUCUGGAGGAAUACCGGUGGCGAAGGCG